rnacentral:rRNA from 1 species
GACGAACGCUGGCGGCGUGCUUAACACAUGCAAGUCGAACGGAAAGGCCCCUUUGGGGGUACUCGAGUGGCGAACGGGUGAGUAACACGUGAGUAACCUGCCCUUGACUUCGGGAUAACUUCAGGAAACUGGGGCUAAUACCGGAUAGGAAUCCUUGCUGCAUGGUGGGGGUUGGAAAGCUUCGGCGGUUUUGGGUGGACUCGCGGCUUAUCAGCUUGUUGGUGGGGUAGUGGCUUACCAAGGCUUUGACGGGUAGCCGGCCUGAGAGGGCGACCGGCCACAUUGGGACUGAGAUACGGCCCAGACUCCUACGGGAGGCAGCAGUGGGGAAUAUUGCACAAUGGGCGGAAGCCUGAUGCAGCAACGCCGCGUGCGGGAGGACGGCCUUCGGGUUGUAAACCGCUUUCAGCAGGGGCGAAGCUUGUGGUGACGGUACCUGCAGAAGAAGCACCGGCUAACUACGUG